UCGCUGGAGGACGAUCUGAGCACGUGCAACGAGAGUCUGGCCACAGAGCCGUCCUUCAUCGACGAGAACCUCGUCUUCAACGAGAGCAAGCGGGUCCCCUUCUUCAAGAAGAAGAAAGGCAAAAAGGAGACGAAGUUCCCGUCCCGGUCUAAAGUGUCGGAGAACGAAGCGGAGUCGACGCCUCAGAAAUCCAGACUGCCGCUCCGCUGUCAGAACUGAAACCUUAUUUCUCUUUAUUUUUAAUAACUUUAUUACUGUUUCUUCUUUUUUCUGACCUCUUUCAUCUUAAACGUGUCCUCAUGAUCUGUUUUAUUGUGGUUUGUGUCUCAGCACCUGCAAAUUGUUUGUAAAAUUAAAGAUUUAUUCUUGUUUUA